rnacentral:sRNA from 1 species
GGUCCUGAAGCUCACAACCGUAACAGCCACCAGACAAGCUUCAGUGGCCGGCCCUUCACAUCCAGACUUGCCUGAGAGGACCCACCUCUGAGUGUCCAGUGGUCAGUUGCCCCAGGAUGGGGACCACAGCCAGAGCAGCCUUGGUCUUGACCUAUUUGGCUGUUGCUUCUGCUGCCUCUGAGGGAGGCUUCACGGCUACAGGACAGAGGCAGCUGAGGCCAGAGCACUUUCAAGAAGGUAAGAGUUUGGGGGAGCAGCAUGGGAUUGGGACUCCAGGAGGCACUGUGGGCUCUGAUGUCUCCCCUCUUGCUUCUAGUUGGCUACGCAGCUCCCCCCUCCCCACCCCUAUCCCGAAGCCUCCCCAUGGAUCACCCUGACUCCUCUCAGCAUGGCCCUCCCUUUGAGGGACAGAGUCAAGGUAAGGUCACCACCCCAUGCCCUCCUCAGUGACCCUCCAGGUUUCUAAUCUGGCCUAUAUCCCACUUUUCAGGUGGGAAGGAGGGAAGAGGCCCUCGCCCCCACUCCCAGCCCUGGCUAGGCGAAAGGGUGGGCUGCUCACACAUUCCCCCUUCUAUAGUGCAGCCCCCUCCCUCUCAGGAGGCCACCCCUCUCCAACAGGAAAAGCUGCUACCUGCCCAACUCCCUGCUGAAAAGGAAGUGGGUCCCCCUCUCCCUCAGGAAGCUGUCCCCCUCCAAAAAGAGCUGCCCUCUCUCCAGCACCCCAAUGAACAGAAGGAAGGUAAGCAGCUCCCUCUCUUCUUUACCCACCUUUACCUCAUGGCCUUCCCCCAGAGCAUGGGCUUCGGGGCAGACAAGACGGUGGGCUCUGCCACUCACCAGUUGUAUAACCUUGGGUAAGUUACAUACUUCUCCAAGCCUUUGUUUCUUCAUCUGUAAAAUUGAGGACAUACCUGUUUUAGAAAGUUAUGUGAUUAGAUGUGCAAAAAUAGCAUCUAUUUUCACUUGCUUCUCUGCUGAGUUCUUCUUUGUGCAUGUAAACUAGCCAGGCUUUCUCUGCUAGAGAUGGCCAUCCCAACAUGGCUUUUGCUUACUCCUUCUACCCCAGUAGACCCACCUCUUCCAUAUCAGGAGGAGAUAAUCAUCCAAUCC